AUUGAACGCUGGCGGAAUGCUUUACACAUGCAAGUCGAACGGCAGCACGGACUUCGGUCUGGUGGCGAGUGGCGAACGGGUGAGUAAUAUAUCGGAACGUGCCCAGUCGUGGGGGAUAACGUAGUGAAAAUUACGCUAAUACCGCAUACGAUCUACGGAUGAAAGCGGGGGAUCGCAAGACCUCGCGCGAUUGGAGCGGCCGAUAUCAGAUUAAGUAGUUGGUGGGGUAAAGGCUCACCAAACCAACGAUCUGUAGCUGGUCUGAGAGGACGACCAGCCACACUGGGACUGAGACACGGCCCAGACUCCUACGGGAGGCAGCAGUGGGGAAUUUUGGACAAUGGACGCAAGUCUGAUCCAGCCAUUCCGCGUGCAGGACGAAGGCCUUCGGGUUGUAGACUGCUUUUGUACAGAACGAAAAGGUUUCUAUUAAUACUAGGAGCUCAUGACGGUACUGUAAGAAUAAGCACCGGCUAACUACGUGCCAGCCGCCGCCGUAA
rnacentral:rRNA from 1 species